rnacentral:lncRNA from 1 species
ACCGCUCACCAGGUUGUGAUGAGAAGGAUCAUCUGAAAUGCUCCAUUGCUCUCAGAAGUUGAGGUAACUUCAUUGGGCCCAAACUGAUAAACUAGGAAUGGCUCAGAAAAUAGCCCCUUAGAAGAACUGUAUGAAGCUUGGAUCCAUUUUUCUGAGAAAAAAGAAAAAUCCCUCCAAUGAUUUGGUGAGGAGUUGAAGACAAAUAUCUUUAUUAUUUAUAAGUAUUCUGGCCAAGACAAUGAGUGUUGGAGUGGGAGGAUGAGGGAAUUUUAUGAUGAACGACAGCACAGCAAGAUGGACAGUAAGGCUCUGUCAUUGCCAUACCAGAU